rnacentral:lncRNA from 1 species
GGGGAAGUAAGGUAGUGAAUUAAAUAAUCAUAACCCCUGAGUGUCUACUAGAAUUCCCAAAAUCUGAUGUCACAAGUGCACGAGCAUCUAGUAGAAUAUACAAAACUCCCUAAGAACUACUGUCUGAAACAAAUUAGACAAGAAUGAUAAAAAAACAUAACAAGAGACGGCUACGGGUGCUGCAGAACGGAGCAUGGGAAAGCAGCUCACCACUAAGCUUCCGGGUAAUGCGGAUACGCGCCCGGACUAACUCCAGAUGCACCUGCCUCAGAACCUGCACACUAUAUGCAAAAGUGUAGCGUGAGUANNNNNNNNNNNNNNNNNNNNAGGAUAUAAUCUCCAUCGACAAUUAAAUAUUUUGGCAACUUUCUAAGUAAUGGGGCUCGAUUUAACUUAAUCUUCAACCAAGUUUUUACCUAUUAAUACGAGAAAUUAAACUAGCAAGUUGAGUCCAAAUAGUACAAGUAAUAGCAUAAUAAAGGCCUAUAACUACUCGGACAUAAUAUGAAUUUUAGCUACGCACGGGCUCUCGUCACUUAGUGUGUAUGUAGCACCCACAAUAUUUAGCAAAUAACAAUUAAAAUACCUAUGGGGUUAAUUCCCUCUUACAAGGUUAGGCAAGAGACUUACCUCGUUCCCAAGUCCACUUUUUGAUCCACAAAUCGCUCUAAAAGAAUCAAGUCGGUGCCAAACAAUCCGAAACUAUCCAAAGGUUGUACAAACUAAUCAAUAAUUGCUCAAAAGUUUAUAAUUUAACUAUUAGAGUGAUUACCCAACCCAAUUUGGAAAGUUCCUAAAAUUCACCGCUGGGCCUACAUGCCUGGAUUCCGAAAAUGUUUGUAAAUAAAUGUUACCCAUAUGCUCAUGAACACAAAUAUAUAAUUUUUACCCAAUUUCAUAAUCAUUUUUGUGGUCUAAUCUCAUUUUUUAUCAAAUCUAGGGUUUUCAACCAAAAUCCUAAUAUUCCCACAAUUUACAUGUUAAAAUCUGCCCAUAAUCUAUGUAUCUAACUUACAUUGUAUUGAAAUUACUUACCUUCAAUAGCUAGGUGAAAACCCCUCUCCGAGAAACUCUAAAAACGUCCCACAAUUGAGAGAAAUGAACAAAAUAGCCAAAAUCCCAACUUUAAUAAAGUCUCUGCCCAGCUGCCCCUUCUUCGCGAUCGCGAAAAGUGCUUCGCGAUCGUGAAGGAAAAGCCUGCCUAGGCCCUGAAGCUCUUCUUCACGAACGCGACAGGGUCCUCGCGAUCGCGAAGGCUAGGCCAGCCCAAGCAUUGCGAACGCGAAGAGCAAUGACCCACAGACCUCCUGGCCCCAAAUCCUUUUACGCGAACGCGACCAAGCCAUCGUGAACGCGAAUGACACAGGUCUUGAAGCUUCGCGAACGCGACCCCAUCUUCGCGAAUGCGAAGAGCAAAAACACCCAGUCCCCAAAUCCUUCAUCAUGAACGCGAGGGUCCUUUCUCAUUCGCGAAUAAAGAAACCAGAACCAGCACACCAAUAGUUUUGGACUUAGAUCCGGGCGGUCUGAAACGCACCCGAGCCCCCCGGGACCCUGUCAAAAUACACCGACAAGUCCAUAACCAUAAUACGGACCUACCCGAACCCUAAAAACACAUAAAAACAUUAAAACUACGAACCGCAACCCAAAAUCAAAUUGAAUCAACUUAUGAACUUCAACUUCUUAAAUAGCUUCAAACGCGCAGAAUUAUACUUCGACUACUCGGAAUGACACCAAAUUUUGCGUACAAUUCAUAAAUCACCAUACGGAACUAUUUCCAGGCUCAAAAUCCCAAACAGACCUCGAUAACACCAAAGUCUACUCUAAACAAAAUUUAAAGAAAUAGAAAACCUUCAAUGAACCGAUGGAACAAUACGAACCUAUUGGAACCAUCAAAUUCCGAUUCCGAGGUCGUUUACUCAAAAUGUUGACUCAAGUCAAACUUGGUCAUCAUAGGCCACUAUUAAGGAACUAAGUGUUCCGAUUUCAACCUGAACCCUUCCAAACCUAAACCAACUAUCCCCGCAAGUCAUAAAAUAUUAAAAUUAUAUACGGGAAGUCGUAAUUAGGGGAACGUGGAUCUAGAAAAUAAAUGAUCAGUCGGGUCGUUACAUUUAUACUCUAAGAUUCACUCACAAAAGCUUACAAUUUUCAGCUUACUAUUAAGUGUUCAGCUACUAUCUUUUACUCUCAAAGUUUUAUGUUUUUCUUAGAGUGAAUGAUAUGUCUAAGUGUGUGUGUGUAUAGUGAGGAAAGAACCAUCCCUUAAGUAGGCAAAGAAGGGCACUUUUUGGACAGAUUUUGGUCCACAAAAAAUCUGUCCAAAAAGGACUAAUUGUGUGCAAACACUGUUCAAAGGGCUGUCCAAAAGGUGAAAGGACAGUUUGAAAAUCUGUUGUAGUAGAGGCAAGGAGGAAAAAGUCAUUUCAGCCACCCUACUAGCAAAAACGAAGGCUACUAGUACCUUAUAUCAUGAUUGAUUUAAUCUAAACUUCAUCUUUAAACCAACACCAAUCUACUUGCUCAAAACAAAUAAAAAAUAGAAAUAUGACCUAACUAGACUUAACAAUUUGAACUAUUAAUCAACAAGAGAAGUCGGAACUUAACAAAAUUAAAGCCAAGCUAAAUGCUUAUUAAAUAGUGAAGCAAUUAGAAAAUUAACUAAUCAAAGAAGAAAUCAGAAAUACUAAACAUGAAUUAGUCGGAACUUAAAACCAAACAAACUACAAUCAAACUCAAAGGGAAAAACAUAAACAAAAUUGCUAGAAGCCUUCAAUCUGAUUUAGACAACUAAUUAUACUAUUCGAAAAUGACUUAAACAAACAAACAACUAAACCGACAAAUAGUUAUGCCGACAUGCUGAAGCCUGAAAGUUUAGUUAAUAAGUACGACUAAUUAACCAUGAUUUAAAAAUGAUAAUUAGAAGCUAAAAAGUUAUAAACUUGAAACUAAAACUAAUUUCAGAGCUAAGCCAAAUGCAUGUUAACAGUGGGGUAAAACUAAUGAAACCGAUUAAGUUAAGCAAAGACAAAAAUCAAAAAAUAGAUUAAAUACGACCUAGACAAUUAUUAACAGAAUUUAAACUUAGAAUACAACGAGAAAGAGAUUAGGAUUUAUACCAACAAGGGAACAAUGUUAACUCGAACAACAAGAACGGGUCGUGGAUGCCGAGAAAAGGCAGUACGAGCAAGCUUCGAUUGUUGAUACUCAUAGAAACCACGGAAUCCGAUGAAUCAAAGUUUAGCUUUCAUGGCAUCAACAAUACAACCUUGUUCGGAGCCGGUGCGGAGGUGAAAGUAUGAGACAGUGGCGAUUUCGGGUUGGAGAUAAGAAAAUAAGAGGAAGAGAGAAGGAGAAGAGUAUAAACUUUAGAGAGUUGAGGCCACUGAUCGGCGGUGGAGCAGCGGCGGCAGUUAGGUGGUCGGCGGUGGUGGACGGCUUUUGGGGGAUGAAAUGGGUAGAAAAGGAUAGAUCUCGAGGAGAUCUAUCCGUGUAUGUAUGUAUUACGUGGUGUGGAAGGUUAGAACUCGCCGUAUUUUAGGGUGGCGGCGGCUAGGGUUUUUCGAAUUUAGAUAGAUUUGGUGAGAUUGGGGGUGAUUUCGGGGAUUUGGGGUUGGGAUAAGGGUAGAGGAUAAGGAGAGGAGAAGAUUGGUGUAAUUGGGGGGUGUUUGGAGGUUAGCCGCCGCCGGUGGGCAAUUUACGGCAGUGGAACAGGGCGGAGGGACGAGAGACAGUGAAGAGAGAAGGAGAAGAGAAGAGACUAGGGCAAAAAUAUGGUAAUUGGGG